rnacentral:lncRNA from 1 species
UUGGGCCAAAGGCUACCAGGGGAAGGUUUUUACCUCGACACCUUAUCUUUAUUUAAUUGUUUUUUUCCUGUUAGUAUCUGUUUGAUUGUUGUUUUGUUUGUUUUAUUUUCUUUACUCUUUUACUAUUUCUCUGACUAUUAUUAUAUGUGUGUUGUGUUUUUAUUGGAUUUGUUUAUUUUAAACUUCAACUUUAUUUGUUAAUAGAGAAUGACGCC